rnacentral:rRNA from 1 species
UCCGUAGGUGAACCUGCGGAAGGAUCAUUACUGUGAUGCGCUUUACUGCGCGUGCUACACAUAUGUUUACAUUCUGAGAGGCUGAAAAGCAUUAAACACAUUAAAUUUAUAGUCAAAACAAACAAAUAUCAAAACUUUCAACAACGGAUCUCUUGGUUCUCGCAACGAUGAAGAACGCAGCGAAUUGCGAUAAGUAUUGUGAAUUGCAGAUUUUCGUGAAUCAUCGAAUCUUUGAACGCACAUUGCGCCCUCUGGCAUUCCGGAGGGCAUGCCUGUUUGAGCGUCAUUUCUUUCUCACAAAGCGAUUUGUGGUAUUGGACAGUCUGCAAUAUGCAGUAGCCCAAAACACCCAGCUGCAGUCAGUGCACGUAUAAUGUCUAGGUCCUGCCAACUCAUUACACAAACACAGCACCCAGCUCAACAAACCAAAGUUUGACCUCAAAUCAGGUAGGACUACCCGCUGAACUUAAGCAUAUCAAUAAGCGGAGGA